UAGAAAAGAAGAAAGUGAACGCUGGCC
rnacentral:piRNA from 1 species